UGGGGAAUAUUGCACAAUGGGCGAAAGCCUGAUGCAGCGACGCCGCGUGAGGGAUGACGGCCUUCGGGUUGUAAACCUCUUUCAGCAGGGAAGAAGCGAAAGUGACGGUACCUGCAGAAGAAGCGCCGGCUAACUACGUGCCAGCAGCCGCGGUAAUACGUAGGGCGCAAGCGUUGUCCGGAAUUAUUGGGCGUAAAGAGCUCGUAGGCGGUUAGUCGCGUCUGCUGUGAAAACUCGAGGCUCAACCUCGGGCUUGCAGUGGGUACGGGCUGACUAGAGUGCGGUAGGGGUGACUGGAAUUCCUGGUGUAGCGGCGGAAUGCGCAGAUAUCAGGAGGAACACCGAUGGCGAAGGCAGGUCACUGGGCCGCAACUGACGCUGAGGAGCGAAAGCAUGGGGAGCGAACAGGAUUAGAUAGCCCUGGUAGUCCAUGCCGUAAACGUUGGGCACUAGGUGUGGGGUCCAUUCCACGGAUUCCGUGCCGCAGCAAACGCAUUAAGUGCCCCAGCCUGGGGAGUACGGCCGCAAGGCUAAAACUCAAAGGAAUUGACGGGGUCAUAGCUGUUUCC
rnacentral:rRNA from 1 species